CCUACGGGAGGCAGCAGUUAGGAAUAUUGGACAAUGGGGGCAACCCUGAUCCAGCCAUGCCGCGUGUGUGAAGAAGGCCUUAGGGUUGUAAAGCACUUUCAGCUGUGAAGAUAAUGACAGUAGCAGAAGAAGAAGCUCCGGCUAAAUUCGUGCCAGCAGCCGCGGUAAUACGAAUGGAGCGAGCGUUGUUCGGAAUCACUGGGCGUAAAGGGUGCGCAGGCGGUCAUGAAAGUUAGAAGUGAAAUCCCAGGGCUUAACCCUGGAAUGGCUUUUAAAACUCCAUGACUAGAGUACUGGAGAGGUUGGCGGAAUUCCGAGUGUAGAGGUGAAAUUCGCAGAUAUUCGGAGGAACACCAAUGGCGUAGGCAGCCAACUGGACAGUAACUGACGCUCAUGCACGAAAGCGUGGGGAUCAAACAGGAUUAGAUACCCUGGUAGUCCACGCCCUAAACGAUGUGUGCUAGUUGUCGGGUUCUUAGAACUCGGUGACGCAGCUAACGCUUUAAGCACNCCGCGUGGGAGUACGUCGCGAGAGUAAACUAACUAAGUAGUUAGUUAGUAGUUGNGAGNGCGACGACGACGACGAGGAGGAGAG
rnacentral:rRNA from 1 species